rnacentral:lncRNA from 1 species
UACAAUCUACGGUCAAAACAAGAGUAGCAGAAUAUUAAAGGGAGAAAAGGAGAGUUUUUGGACUAGAUGAAGAUUUCUGGCCUACCCUUCCCUGAAUCGAUGCAAUUCAAUCCGAUUAUGAAGCAAAUAUCCAAAAGGAUGCCCAAAUACCCACCUUAAACAGACUCCGACAAGCUUAUUUACAUGAUACCGAAAUCCAAACGCGACGGAUCACCUACUAGAGGUAGGGCGAGAUGUAAUUGAAUUGAUUUGAAGAGGAGAGAGGGAAGGCUAAGAUCAUAUCCUGAAUGAUGAAAAUAUAUGUUUGGGAUUUAUUUUAGUCGACAUGAUAGAGGCGGUUAAUCUGGAUAACUUCACUUCCACGCUUUCUUAAUUAUGGCCAGGUUGGAUUUUUUUAUUUUCCUAUUUGGGAAGAAAAUUAAUGAGCAACUCUCUUUUAGUCUUUUCCUAAUAAGAAAUAGUUUAGUAAAUAGACUGUUAUUUUCUUAAUAGAAAAAUCAUAUUUAUUUGAG